UAGGGUCUGAUAUGUCUGGUAUUCUUGGGUUGAGCUACGUACAACCAGACAUAUUAGACAUAUCCGAUUCUGG
rfam:Steinernema glaseri strain NC unplaced genomic scaffold GLAS_5325, whole genome shotgun sequence.